GCUGGAGGCAGGUGCCCACAGUGGCCACGUCACAGUGAGACUGCAGCCCUGAGCCUACCACGUGUGGUCAGCUGGAGAGGGCAGUGCCCAGGGAGCUCAGAGCUGCAUGCACAGUGUCCCGAGUGCCAGAUCAGAAGGGUGAGGAGACGUGGAUCAGGCUUCCCCGGCCAUCAGACACUGGGGGUGUUGGGGGUCCCAGGAGCACCCCAUACCCCAGGAAGUGCUGCUUUCUGAGGGAAAGAGCCCUUGCUGAGGAGUCCAAGGGGCUCUGGUCCCACUCAGCAGCCUGGGACCCCGGGGCCUCAGGUGUCUCUGCCGCUAUCAGAUCCCUCCUCCUUGGAGUCAACAAGAACCAGCGUGCAGCCAGCUCUGGGCUUCGCAGGGGUUCAGUGGUAAAGAAUCUGCCUGCAAUGCAGGAGACGUGGGUUCGAUCCCUGGGUCGGGAAGAUUCCCUGGAGAAGGAAAUGGCAACCCACUGCAGUAUUCUUGCCUGGAGAAUCCCAUGGACAGAGGAGUCCAGCGGGCUACAGUCCAUGCGGUUGCAAAAGAGUUGAAUGUGACUUAGCAACUGAGCACCAACAACAGCCAGUUCUGCACAGACUGUAUGACCUCGGGGAAGAUGCUGGGCUGUUCCCCACUGGCCCUUCCAGCUCUGUGCCCCGGAAGCUGGCCUAAAGCUGCACUGGUGGGCUCCCUCACCGUCUGGCUUCAGCUGGACGAGAGGAGAAUGUGGCCUGGAUGCCCUCCCUGCUGGACUGGGGCUUGGCAGUGGCAGAUGUCUCUCCCAGAGGCCCUUGGCUCCUCGUGGGCAGCUGUCUCCUCCGGUUACGGCACAUACCAGAUCCCAGAGGCCUAGAGCGGCAACAGCCCCCUGCUUUGCAGGCUCUGGGUGCCCACCGGCCCUUGUGGGUCCCCCAACUCUGCUCACACGUCUGUACAUUGUCUUUUCAUCAAGCCCUUCAGCCCCUGUUCUGCAUGUGUCUUCUGCCUCUGAACUGCCUGCAAUAUCACUGAACCCUCUUAGCUUGUUUCCCCAUCCUUCUGCUGGGGACCAUGAUGACAUCUGCCUCUAGAAGCUGGAAGAGACAAGGAAACGGAUUCUUUCCUAGAGUGAUGCAAAGGAACGCUGCUUUGUAGACACCUUGGUUUAGCCCAGACACUGAUUUUGGAGAUCUGACCUCUGGGCUGUAAGAAGAUAAACUUUCGUUGUUUUAAGCCACAACGUUUGUGGCCAUUUGUUACAGCGGCCAUAGGAUACUGCUACACGGGUCCAGGCCCCAGAUAAGCAGUGACUGUAAUAAAUUCUGGGCUCUUCCCCAGCUCCAGCUGAACAUUCCAGGAGCAGCUGCUCAGGGGCAACCUGACCGUGACCUCCCAGAACCUCAGUGUCUUCAUUUUGGCCUAGGAGGCACAUGUGUUUUUUUUUUUUUUCCCCUGCCAGGGUGAAAUGCUGACAACAAAUUAUGUCUCAAGGGUUUCAGACUCCAGUGUUAUCAGGAGCCUGAGUAACAUGGCAAGUCGCCUGAGUGAGUGGGAUGGUGUGAAGCAGUGGGGAGUGGUGGGCCUGUGGCAAACUGGAGAACUCACACCUUGCUUAAAGACAUCAACUUUACGACUUCCCCAGCUUCCCUGGUGGCUCAGAUGGUAAAGUGUCUGCCUGCAAUGCGAGAGACCUGGGUUCGAUCCCUGGGUGGAGAAGAUCCCCUGGAGAAGGAAAUGGAAACCCACUCCAGUACUCUUGCCUGGAAAAUUCCAUGGACGGAGGAGCCUGGUAGGCUACAGUCCAUGGGGUUGCAAAGAGUCAGACAAGACAAAGCGAGUUUGCUUUCACUUUAGGACUUCCCUGGUGGUCCAGUGGUUGAGAAUCCACCUGCCAAUGGAGGGGACAUGGGUUCGAUCCCUGGUCAGGGAAGACCCGUGAGGCAGCUGGCCUGCGCACCACCACCACUGAGCCCACGCUCUGGAGCCUGAGCGUUUCAACAGCUGAGGUCUGCUUGCUCGAGAGCCCACACACCAAAAUUAGAGAAAGCCCAGGCACAACAACAAACACCCAGCACAGCCAGAUAAAUAAUUUUAAAAAAAGAUAUCCACUUUAAGUGACAGGAAGAGCAAUAAAUCCAGCCAAACAAAGUCAACAUCUUAUCUGUCCACGUGGCUUACGGACUAGGACUUUGGGAUCCCAUAUUCACCUUCUAGUUUCACAGUGACUCCAAGGGGAGGUGCUCCACAGGGUAGGGAGAGGCCCUGAAUAUGAUGAGGGUGAGCCUUGGCUGCCCCUUAGAGUCACCCUUCCCCUACCCCAGACCUCUACCACAUCUAGCCUCUGUUUCCUAAAAGGGGAUUUUGAUACAGAAUCUGGUGAGAGCCAUUGGGCCCGCUGGCUCACUGGCAUCGCCUCACCUCCAUCAUCCUUUCCCACCCACACAAAACUCUCACAGUGCCCCCUGGAGAAGUCGGUCCAUUAGCCCUGGGGCACCACCUCUCACCUUCCUCUCCAACAUGGGAGGAACUUGUGUGGAAUAACCAAAAGUCUACUACUGUUGGGUCAAGCUCUAACCAAUCCAAACCACAGGUUGGGGAGUAGGAGACACAGAAAAGAGGGGCACUGUCCCCCCAAAAUGAUGAGAACAAAGAUGUCCUGGUAGAGACCAUGAGUUUUGGAGUCAGACAGACCUGGGUGAGUCCCCACUUCACCACAUACUAGCUGUGUGGCUUCAGGAAACAUAUUUGACCACUCUGAGCCUCAGUUGUCACAUCUUUAAAAUUGGAAUAACAUUAAUAAUACCUCUUUGCAUUGUUGCUGUGAGAACUAAAUCAAAUAAUGUAUGUGAGGGGUGGUCCCUGGCCUACAGGAGGGACUCCGCUCAGACUCUGGACCCAGACAACUUGGGUUAGAGAUCCCUUUAGUGGUUGCGUGACCUUGGCAAGUUACCUCAUGUGGCGUUCUCAUCUCACAUGUGGGUUCACUGGUGUCCUCACAGGGCUGUCGGGAGGAUGAGGUCAAGGGUGUGAGACCUUGCCUGGACUUCGUAAGGACUCCGUGAGCCCACGAAUUAUUUACUAGGUGUGUUCUGACAUUGGUGGGUGUGUGUCUCCCGUACCCGGUGGGCCCUGGCAUGUGUUUCUGGGAUGUGAAGUCAGAGCCUGUUUCCUGGUUGUCGGGAGAGGCUGACCACAUUCUACCUAUACCUGCCUGUCUAGUUCCUUCUCCCGUUCCUCACCCCACCUCCAAAUCUUCCACCCUCUUCAUCUCCUGUCCCCCAGCUGCUGUCUGUGACUUUCCCCAGACACCUCUCUGGUAGCCCCCAAGCCUGGGGUUGCAGGGCUACUGGGCUCCGUGGUGUGCCUGGGAGGGGCCUGGGGCUGCCCCCUGAGUAGCCCCGAUGUCACCGGAGAAGGCAAGCAUUGCGCUGCCCUCGCUCCAACGCGUGUGCACAUGCCAGGCAGUCUCGGAUGAAUCAUGUCCACACCGUGCUAUUACUAGGCUUGUAACAGAGGCCCUGUGUGCUGGCUUGGGGUAUAGUGUUUCUUUCCAUUCCAUGAUUCAGAAAACAUCAGUCACUCAGCCAUGUGAUUCCCUCAUCUUCCGCCAAGGAGCUGAGCACAGAGGUUUGCUGGGAAACCCUCAAAGGACAGGGGAGGGCAGCUGUGUGUGGUUGCCAGAAAGGGGAUUGAGCUGAGAGAACUGGAAACAGGAACUGGAGAGACUGUCAUCAGGAAAAGAGCAUCAGGGGACUCAGGUGUGAUGAGGCCAGAGCCCUGCCCACGAGAGCAGCUGCUGGCAGAUGAAGGGAGCUCACUCAGCUAUACACUACCCCAGCCCCAGAAAAAACAAUGAUUCUUGGGCCUUAUUAUAAAUGUAAAGUUUGCUUAUGCAAAAUUCUGAUCAGCACAGAAAGUUGUAAAAAAGAAAGGACAUACCUCUCACAUGUUGCUACCAGACACAGUUUUAAAUUGUUGGCACACAUCUCUGUGCUUGGAACUGCCAGGUUCUGGCCCUCCAAACUACUGACCAGCCGGGGUCUGAUCCGGGCUCCUGCCCCAGUCCUCAGGGGACUGUCCUGCCUCAGGGGACACUGAGCUCCAAAUGCCCUUGGAGAUGGGCCAGGUCUGGGCUCUGGCAUCUGGGUUCUAGUCCCAAUUUGGUUGUGUGCCCUUAGGCAAAUCACUCUGAGUCCUAUUUGUGCGGUUACAAAUGGAAUAAUAGGGACUCCCCAGAUUGCCCACUGGUUAAGACUCCAUGCUCCCAAGGCAGGGGGGCCUGGUUUCAAUCCCCGGUCAGGGCACUGAGACCUCACAUGCCAGAACUAAGACCCAGGAAAGUGAAAAAGUGAAAGUCGCUCAGUUGUGUCUGACUCUUUGUGAUCCCAUGGACUCUACUGUCCAUGGAAUUCUCCAGACCAGAACACUGGAGUGGGUAGCCUUUUCCUUCUCCAGGGGAUCUUCCCAACCCUGGGAUUGAACCCAGGUCUCCUGCAUUGCAGGCAGAGUCUAGACCCAGGGUAGCCAAUAAAUAAAUAAAACAAAUAUUUUUUAAAAAUAGGAUAAGAAUUGGGCUGAUUUGUCCAGAGGAUGAAGCAUAUGAGGGGAUAUGAAAACUGUAAACCUGCAGAAUCUCUUCAAACAGAAGGGGAGGGCCUGCAUGAUGCCCAUUCUCUUGGGGAGGCUCCUUUAUCUAGGGGCAGCCUUGAGCCAGCUCUCUUGCUCCACAGCAGAAACUGGUCUGCCCAUGUUGACCAAAGGCCUUCCCCCAACCCCGGACUGGCUCAGAGCAGGGAAGCCUCAGUUUGGGAUCCCCAGUCAUGCCAGUACCACCUCUGAACACCAGUUGAGCACCAGAGUGGGCAGGCACCUGGUUCAGAAAGCUUCAAAACCUUGUUGUGUCGCCAGCUUUGCACCCAGGUAACUGUCUUCCUUUAUCUCCCUCACAGAUACUGUCACCCCAGCGGGGCCCGUUCUCAGAGCCAUCACUGCUCAGAAGCCUCGUUUGAUUUCAGGGACCUUUGCGGAUGCCCCAAGCGUUGUAUCAGUUUACACUGCAGUGAUUUGUAGUAAAUCCUUGUGUUCUUGUGGAGGGACGGUAAUGACAAUAUAAGACCAUUAGAUCGGCUAUUUCCAAACUUUUUUUUUUUUUUUAAGAUGUUUAUUUAUUUAUUUGGCUGCACUGGGUCUUUCUUCGUUGUUAUACUUGGGCUUUCUCUAGUUGCGGUGAGCAGGGGCCACACUUCAUUGCUGUGUGGGCUUCUCGUUGCAGUGACUUCUGGUUGCGGAGGGCAGGCUCAGUGGUUACGUCACACACUUAGUUGUUCUGCAGAAUAUGGGAUCUUCCUGGACCAGGGAUCGAACCCAUGUCCCUUGCACUGCAGGGUGGAUUCUCAACCACGGACCCACCAGGGAAGCCCCUCCAAAGUACUUCUUACAUUCACCCCUGUAACACACUAAAAGGGCUUGGGUUAUUGGGAUUAUCACCCUUCUCAUCUCACAGAAUUGAGCCAAGGAGGCUCAGGGGACACGUGUCUCUGAAUAACACAGUAUUUCCUUGUGACUCUGUUUCCCCGGGUCUCUGCCUCCCAGCCCCCCUGGAGCCAAACCAGCUGGGACCCUGUCCCUCCUGGUUCACACACAUCUAGUCCAGAGGCAGGAAGCCCCGGGGCCAGCGAGGCCCUUUCCACAUGGCUCCCCACAGCAGGGCCCAGUGCAGACCACUACAGCCAAGCAAUCCCACAUUACGUCCCCAGGCACCUCUGCUCACCGACGGUCCCCAGGUAGAUUCUGGAGAUGGUGACCCUGGGUGUACAUCCAAGUUUUUCCACAAAAACAAGACCUUCCCAGUUCAUGUGUCUAGGCGUUGACCUCAGUUCCCCUACGGAGGCCCUGUUCCCAC
ensembl:lncRNA